UACGAAGGGGGCUAGCGUUGCUCGGAAUUACUGGGCGUAAAGCGCACGUAGGCGGAUCUUUAAGUCAGGGGUGAAAUCCUGGAGCUCAACUCCAGAACUGCCUUUGAUACUGAGGAUCUUGAGUUCGGGAGAGGUGAGUGGAACUGCGAGUGUAGAGGUGAAAUUCGUAGAUAUUCGGAAGAACACCAGUGGCGAAGGCGGCUCACUGGCCCGGUACUGACGCUGAUGUGCGAAAGCGUGGGGAGCAAACAGG
rnacentral:rRNA from 1 species